GGUUUUUGGGAUUCUAAAAACAUGAACAAUAUUUCCCCAUCUUUACCAAGUCUCUUCCGGUCUUACAUCCGAAAUUUGUGUAUCACAGCUAAAAUUAGAAACUCAGCUACCAUGUGGUCUACAGAAUUGCUUGGUGAUGUGAUUGGAGAA